UUUUCAAAAACUCCAAGACAUGAUAUUGGAAGAAGAGAUUAUAUGUGAGAUAAAAGGUAUUCAAAUUCAAGAAGUUGUCACGGACACAAAAUACAGACUUGAAAUCUAACAAGAAGUUCAAGAAAAAAAGGCAGAACUAGAUUAAACAGAUGAAUACAAGAACAACACCAGAAAGGUGAGCUAGAACUCCAAGAGAUGUGUUGUCGAGACUGAAGAACUCUUCAACAUCGAUCCCUAUAUAUACUCCUACUUAGGAAACUUCUCGAGCUACUUCUAUUAACUAGGAAGCUUCUAGAAAGUUCCAGGGGAUUCCUUUCUAGAAGCUUCUAGAAACUUCUCUUCUAGAAGGUUCCAGAGACUUCCUUUCUAGAAGCAUCUAGAAACUUCUCUCUAAAAGGUUCCAGAGGCUUCUCUUCUAGAAGGUUCCAGA
rnacentral:lncRNA from 1 species